GAUGACAAACCAUAUUACAAAACCGUAUACAUAGCUAGCUAUAUGCAAUAGAGCCAUGAUGAUGUAAAUAAUUAUAUAGCUGAUUAGUCUACUUGUUUGACUAAAAAACUGGCAUUAUAUAUCCACUCUUAAUCUGUCAUUUUCUUAAAACUCCAAAAGGCCACAUAAAUUAGCAAAAGGGUCUCACAGAAAAGUCAAAAAAUGUUAAUUAUUUUUGGAUGAUGUAGUGCAGCUGCCACCCAAAAGCACAAAAUAUUCAAAAGAGAGAAAAUACAAAAGCAAAUGUGUAGAC
rnacentral:misc_RNA from 1 species